rnacentral:rRNA from 1 species
GUGGGGAAUAUUGCACAAUGGGGGAAACCCUGAUGCAGCGACGCCGCGUGAGUGAAGAAGUAUUUCGGUACGUAAAGCUCUAUCAGCAAGGAAGAAAAUGACGGUACUUGACUAAGAAGCCCCGGCUAACUACGUGCCAGCAGCCGCGGUAAUACGUAGGGGGCAAGCGUUAUCCGGAUUUACUGGGUGUAAAGGGAGCGUAGACGGAAUGGCAAGUCUGAAGUGAAAUCCUGCGGCUUAACUGCAGAAUUGCUUUGGAAACUGUCAAUCUGGAGUGUUGGAGAGGUAAGCGGAAUUCCUGGUGUAGCGGUGAAAUGCGUAGAUAUCAGGAAGAACACCGGAGGCGAAGGCGGCUUACUGGACAAUAACUGACGUUGAGGCUCGAAAGCGUGGGAAGCAAACAGGAUUAGAAACCCCAGUAGUCC